CUUGCUAUUGGGCAAAAUCCCGUCUGCUACCUGGUAUUCAUGUAGAGUAAACUGCAAUGUGGAAACAGAUGUAUCCCAGAACCGUGUGGGCACAUGAACAUUCCAAAGAAGAUACUUCCAGGUUCUUCACAUGGCUAUAAGAGUCUUUACAGAGGAGAGGGAAAGAGAAGACAGUGGAGAGAUGCCUUGGGAGAGAGCUGUUACUGGCCAUGGUGCCAUUCUUCUUCCACAGGUAGUGGUAACCCUUCUAUCCCAAGUCUGGUGAGGAGUGACUACGUAAUGAUUCCGAGGGCCAUGGAAUGUGUGGAAAAUUAGGGCUCAGCUUGACUCAUG
rnacentral:lncRNA from 1 species